rnacentral:tRNA from 1 species
GCCUGCUUGGCGCAGUGGUAACGCGUAGCACUUGUAUGUGUAUUUAAUUAUUACAGACAUGCUGAGAUCAUUGGUUCGAUUCCAGUAGUAGGCA